rnacentral:rRNA from 1 species
CUGCUGCCUCCCGUAGGAGUUUGGGCCGUGUCUCAGUCCCAAUGUGGCCGUCCACCCUCUCAGGCCGGCUACUGAUCGUCGCCUUGGUGGGCCUUUACCCCACCAACCAGCUAAUCAGACGCGGGCCCAUCUUGCACCACCGGAAUUUUUCACACCGGACCAUGCGGCCCUGUGCGCUUAUGCGGUAUUAGCACCUAUUUCUAAGUGUUAUCCCCCAGUGCAAGGCAGGUUACCCACGCGUUACUCACCCGUCCGCCACUAAAG